rnacentral:rRNA from 1 species
AUUGAACGCUGGCGGCAGGCUUAACACAUGCAAGUCGAGCGGAUGAGUGGAGCUUGCUCCAUGAUUCAGCGGCGGACGGGUGAGUAAUGCCUAGGAAUCUGCCUGGUAGUGGGGGACAACGUUUCGAAAGGAACGCUAAUACCGCAUACGUCCUACGGGAGAAAGUGGGGGAUCUUCGGACCUCACGCUAUCAGAUGAGCCUAGGUCGGAUUAGCUAGUUGGUGAGGUAAAGGCUCACCAAGGCGACGAUCCGUAACUGGUCUGAGAGGAUGAUCAGUCACACUGGAACUGAGACACGGUCCAGACUCCUACGGGAGGCAGCAGUGGGGAAUAUUGGUCAAUGGGCGAAAGCCUGAUCCAGCCAUGCCGCGUGUGUGAAGAAGGUCUUCGGAUUGUAAAGCACUUUAAGUUGGGAGGAAGGGCAGUAAGUUAAUACCUUGCUGUUUUGACGUUACCAACAGAAUAAGCACCGGCUAACUUCGUGCCAGCCGCCGCGGUAACAC